CCUACGGGCGGCAGCAGUGGGGAAUAUUGGACAAUGGGGGCAACCCUGAUCCAGCCAUGCCGCGUGUGUGAAGAAGGCCCUCGGGUUGUAAAGCACUUUCAGUGAGGAAGAACGCCUGGUGGUUAAUACCCAUCAGGAAAGACAUCACUCACAGAAGAAGCACCGGCUAACUCCGUGCCAGCAGCCGCGGUAAUACGGAGGGUGCGAGCGUUAAUCGGAAUUACUGGGCGUAAAGCGCGCGUAGGUGGCUUGAUAAGCCGGUUGUGAAAGCCCCGGGCUCAACCUGGGAACGGCAUCCGGAACUGUCAAGCUAGAGUGCAGGAGAGGAAGGUAGAAUUCCCGGUGUAGCGGUGAAAUGCGUAGAGAUCGGGAGGAAUACCAGUGGCGAAGGCGGCCUUUGGGACUGACACUGACACUGAGGUGCGAAAGCGUGGGUAGCAAACAGGAUUAGAUACCCUUGUAGUC
rnacentral:rRNA from 1 species